GGACCUUAGCUCAGUGGUUAGAGCAUCUGCCUAACAUGCAGAAGGUCCCAGGCUCAACUCUUGCCAUCUUCA